rnacentral:rRNA from 1 species
CCUACGGGAGGCAGCAGUGAGGAAUAUUGGUCAAUGGGCGGAAGCCUGAACCAGCCAAGUAGCGUGCAGGAUGACGGCCCUACGGGUUGUAAACUGCUUUUAUACGGGAAUAACGCGCCGUACGUGUAGGGCUUUGCAUGUACCGUAUGAAUAAGGACCGGCUAAGUCCGUGCCAGCAGCCGCGGUAAUACGGAAGGUCCGGGCGUUAUCCGGAUUUCUUGGGUUUAAAGGGAGCGUAGGCCGCAUGUCAAGCGUGCUGUGAAAUGUCCGGGCUCAACCCGGGCCUUGCCGCGCGAACUGGCGUGCUUGAGUCCGCGGCAAGCAGGCGGAAUUCGUCGUGUAGCGG